AACGCACCUUGCGCUUCCCGGCAUUCCGGGCAGCAUGUCCGUUUCAGCAUCAUCAAAACUAUCCUCAUCGUCCCUGGCCGUUGGAUUGCCCAAUGGUGAGGGAUGAAUGGUAUUGGCCCUGCUGUGUGGGAAGAAGAGCUUCUGCAGAUGCGAUUCUUUCUCCAGUCGGCUAAACUUGAUUGCAUGCACAUCAGAUGUACUUCUGUGGGUAACCCUUUCAUGCAAAAAGUGCAACAGAAUUUUGCUACACUUUGGGCACGAGACGGGUUUUUUCCUAUAGGGCGGUCUGGAUGAGUGUAUGCCAGCCAAAUCAAAGGCAACAUUGUCGUAAAACUCUGUUGUCCUGAACCUUGGUCUGAAAUCGGACAAGAAAACCCGCUGAACUUAA
rnacentral:misc_RNA from 1 species